GGUCAGGUAGAGAAUACCAAGGCGCUUGAGAGAACUCGGGUGAAGGAACUAGGCAAAAUGGUGCCGUAACUUCGGGAGAAGGCACGCUGAUAUGUAGGUGAAGUCCCUCGCGGAUGGAGCUGAAAUCAGUCGAAGAUACCAGCUGGCUGCAACUGUUUAUUAAAAACACAGCACUGUGCAAACACGAAAGUGGACGUAUACGGUGUGACGCCUGCCCGGUGCCGGAAGGUUAAUUGAUGGGGUCAGCGCAAGCGAAGCUCUUGAUCGAAGCCCCGGUAAACGGCGGCCGUAACUAUAACGGUCCUAAGGUAGCGAAAUUCCUUGUCGGGUAAGUUCCGACCUGCACGAAUGGCGUAAUGAUGGCCAGGCUGUCUCCACCCGAGACUCAGUGAAAUUGAACUCGCUGUGAAGAUGCAGUGUACCCGCGGCAAGACGGAAAGACCCCGUGAACCUUUACUAUAGCUUGACACUGAACAUUGAGCCUUGAUGUGUAGGAUAGGUGGGAGGCUUUGAAGUGUGGACGCCAGUCUGCAUGGAGCCGACCUUGAAAUACCACCCUUUAAUGUUUGAUGUUCUAACGUGGACCCGUGAUCCGGGUUGCGGACAGUGUCUGGUGGGUAGUUUGACUGGGGCGGUCUCCUCCUAAAGAGUAACGGAGGAGCACGAAGGUUGGCUAAUCCUGGUCGGACAUCAGGAGGUUAGUGCAAUGGCAUAAGCCAGCUUGACUGCGAGCGUGACGGCGCGAGCAGGUGCGAAAGCAGGUCAUAGUGAUCCGGUGGUUCUGAAUGGAAGGGCCAUCGCUCAACGGAUAAAAGGUACUCCGGGGAUAACAGGCUGAUACCGCCCAAGAGUUCAUAUCGACGGCGGUGUUUGGCACCUCGAUGUCGGCUCAUCACAUCCUGGGGCUGAAGUAGGUCCCAAGGGUAUGGCUGUUCGCCAUUUAAAGUGGUACGCGAGCUGGGUUUAGAACGUCGUGAGACAGUUCGGUCCCUAUCUGCCGUGGGCGCUGGAGAACUGAGGGGGGCUGCUCCUAGUACGAGAGGACCGGAGUGGACGCAUCACUGGUGUUCGGGUUGUCAUGCCAAUGGCACUGCCCGGUAGCUAAAUGCGGAAGAGAUAAGUGCUGAAAGCAUCUAAGCACGAAACUUGCCCCGAGAUGAGUUCUCCCUGACCCUUUAAGGGUCCUGAAGGAACGUUGAAGACGACGACGUUGAUAGGCCGGGUGUGUAAGCGCAGCGAUGCGUUGAGCUAACCGGUACUAAUGAACCGUGAGGCUUAACCUU
rnacentral:rRNA from 1 species